AGUGGGGGGAGGGCAGGGUCCCUCAGCCUGGAUUGUGAGAGGGUGCAGGCUAGGCUGAGGGAUCCCACUGUUGCACG
rfam:Myotis lucifugus cont2.24567, whole genome shotgun sequence.